rnacentral:rRNA from 1 species
AGCGAACGCUGGCUGCAGGCCUAACACAUGCAAGUCGAACGAAGUCUUCGGACUUAGUGGCGGACGGGUGAGUAACACGUGGGAACUUACCUUUUGGUUCGGAACAACUUAGGGAAACUUGAGCUAAUACCGGCUGAGCCCUUUGUGGGAAAGAUUUAUCGCCGAAAGAGCGGCCCGCGUUAGAUUAGCUAGUUGGUGAGGUAAAGGCUCACCAAGGCUACGAUCAGUAGCUGUUCUGAGAGGAUGACCAGCGACAUUGUGACUGAGACACAGCCCAUACUCCUACGGGAGGCAGCAGUGGGUAAUCUUGCGCAAGGGGCGAACGCAUGACGCAGCCACGACGCGUGGAUGAUGAAUGUCUGAGGAUUGUAAAAUCCUUUAAACGGUGAAGAUAAUGACUGUAGCCGGAGAAGAAGCCCCGGCUAACUACGUGGAAGCCGCCGCCGUAAUAC